rnacentral:rRNA from 1 species
ACGCUGGCGGCAGGCCUAACACAUGCAAGUCGAGCGGUAGAGAGAAGCUUGCUUCUCUUGAGAGCGGCGGACGGGUGAGUAAUGCCUAGGAAUCUGCCUGGUAGUGGGGGAUAACGUCCGGAAACGGACGCUAAUACCGCAUACGUCCUACGGGAGAAAGCAGGGGACCUUCGGGCCUUGCGCUAUCAGAUGAGCCUAGGUCGGAUUAGCUAGUUGGUGGGGUAAUGGCUCACCAAGGCGACGAUCCGUAACUGGUCUGAGAGGAUGAUCAGUCACACUGGAACUGAGACACGGUCCAGACUCCUACGGGAGGCAGCAGUGGGGAAUAUUGGACAAUGGGCGAAAGCCUGAUCCAGCCAUGCCGCGUGUGUGAAGAAGGUCUUCGGAUUGUAAAGCACUUUAAGUUGGGAGGAAGGGCAGUUACCUAAUACGUAUCUGUUUUGACGUUACCGACAGAAUAAGCACCGGCUAACUCUGUGCCAGCAGCCGCGGUAAUACAGAGGGUGCAAGCGUUAAUCGGAAUUACUGGGCGUAAAGCGCGCGUAGGUGGUUAGUUAAGUUGGAUGUGAAAUCCCCGGGCUCAACCUGGGAACUGCAUUCAAAACUGACUGACUGGAGUAUGGUAGAGGGUGGUGGAAUUUCCUGUGUAGCGGUGAAAUGCGUAGAUAUAGGAAGGAACACCAGUGGCGAAGGCGACCACCUGGACUGAUACUGACACUGAGGUGCGAAAGCGUGGGGAGCAAAC